AUUGAACGCUGGCGGCAUGCCUAACACAUGCAAGUCGAACGAGUGGCGGACUGGUGAGCAAUGUCUGGGAAACUGCCUGACGGAGGGGGAUAACUACUGGAAACGGUAGCUAAUACCGCAUACCAUCAGAUGUGCCCAGAUGGGAUUAGCUAGUUGGUGGGGUAACGGCUCACCAAGGCGACGAUCCCUAGCUGGUCUGAGAGGAUGACCAGCCACACUGGAACUGAGACACGGUCCAGACUCCUACGGGAGGCAGCAGUAGGGAAUAUUGCACAAUGGGCGAAAGCCUGAUGCAGCAAUGCCGCGUGUAUGAAGAAGGCCUUCGGGUUGUAAAGUACUGUCAGCGGGGAGGCGUUACCCACAGAGGAAGCACCGGCUAACUCCGUGCCAGCAGCCGCGGUAAUAC
rnacentral:rRNA from 1 species